CGGGUGAGUAACACGUGGGUAACCUGCCUGUAAGACUGGGAUAACUCCGGGAAACCGGAGCUAAUACCGGAUAGUUCCUUGAACCGCAUGGUUCAAGGAUGAAAGACGGUUUCGGCUGUCACUUACAGAUGGACCCGCGGCGCAUUAGCUAGUUGGUGGGGUAAUGGCUCACCAAGGCGACGAUGCGUAGCCGACCUGAGAGGGUGAUCGGCCACACUGGGACUGAGACACGGCCCAGACUCCUACGGGAGGCAGCAGUAGGGAAUCUUCCGCAAUGGACGAAAGUCUGACGGAGCAACGCCGCGUGAGUGAUGAAGGUUUUCGGAUCGUAAAGCUCUGUUGUUAGGGAAGAACAAGUGCGAGAGUAACUGCUCGCACCUUGACGGUACCUAACCAGAAAGCCACGGCUAACUACGUGCCAGCAGCCGCGGUAAUACGUAGGUGGCAAGCGUUGUCCGGAAUUAUUGGGCGUAAAGGGCUCGCAGGCGGUUUCUUAAGUCUGAUGUGAAAGCCCCCGGCUCAACCGGGGAGGGUCAUUGGAAACUGGGAAACUUGAGUGCAGAAGAGGAGAGUGGAAUUCCACGUGUAGCGGUGAAAUGCGUAGAGAUGUGGAGGAACACCAGUGGCGAAGGCGACUCUCUGGUCUGUAACUGACGCUGAGGAGCGAAAGCGUGGGGAGCGAACAGGAUUAGAUACCCUGGUAGUCCACGCCGUAAACGAUGAGUGCUAAGUGUUAGGGGGUUUCCGCCCCUUAGUGCUGCAGCUAACGCAUUAAGCACUCCGCCUGGGGAGUACGGUCGCAAGACUGAAACUCAAAGGAAUUGACGGGGGCCCGCACAAGCGGUGGAGCAUGUGGUUUAAUUCGAAGCAACGCGAAGAACCUUACCAGGUCUUGACAUCCUCUGACAACCCUAGAGAUAGGGCUUUCCCUUCGGGGACAGAGUGACAGGUGGUGCAUGGUUGUCGUCAGCUCGUGUCGUGAGAUGUUGGGUUAAGUCCCGCAACGAGCGCAACCCUUGAUCUUAGUUGCCAGCAUUCAGUUGGGCACUCUAAGGUGACUGCCGGUGACAAACCGGAGGAAGGUGGGGAUGACGUCAAAUCAUCAUGCCCCUUAUGACCUGGGCUACACACGUGCUACAAUGGACAGAACAAAGGGCUGCAAGACCGCAAGGUUUAGCCAAUCCCAUAAAUCUGUUCUCAGUUCGGAUCGCAGUCUGCAACUCGACUGCGUGAAGCUGGAAUCGCUAGUAA
rnacentral:rRNA from 1 species